UGCCUCCUUCUCUCCUUGAAGUCCGUUCUUCCUUGUGAUCGAUCAUUCUCGCUUUCUGCUACAAACUUCCUCUGUUUUUCUUCUUUCUUCUCUCUCUCUGUGAUUAUCUCUAUUUUUUUUUUUAUCAGAAUGAACGGGAAGGCCUCUGUUUCCAAGGAUCAAUACAAAUCGAAACUUCUAUCGGUCCAAGUUGCUUAUCUACAUCUAAGGAAACUCUCUUCGUAGAUCAACAUGGACGCUCCAAGAAUCAAAGGCGACUGUAUAAAUCGGAUUUGCGUUUCCGCAAUUGGACGGUGAUGAAGGUGGGGGGGAAGGGAAGGUUCGUACACUCAGUUAUUGCAAGGCAUCUUCACAAAAGAAACCAUCGAUGUUCGAACAAUAAAGCUAAGUGCUUUCCUUACUGAAAAGCCAUAUUAGAAAUUAUUUCCUUUAUAUUUGUUGUGUGAAGAAUUAUGAUUAUGUAAUGCUUGAAACUUUAAUAUCUUGUAAAUCAGAAGCUUUAUAAUAGGUGUCGUUUGAAGAAACUGGAAACACGUUCGACCCUAUUACUGAUGUGCAUUCUAUUGUGGUUUUCUCGUUCGUAUUGUCUACAACAGACUAAGGAAACAGAGCCAGACAUAAAUAUUUCCCCUCGAAGAAACACCUCCUCACAACUGGCCGCCCAUUGUGAACUAACUGUAUCCAACUUGGUAUAAGCUUUCGUCGCCGACUUCUUUUUGAUCCUUUUCCUCGGAGAAACCCAGCAGCUUUCACCUCUUUAGCUUCUCCUCUGUGACGUCAACGAAUCAUAAUCGUGAUCCAUAAAGCUCUAUCAUUUAGUGCAAUAACUAUAUAAUCUAUCUCUUCCCCUCCGAUUUUGCUGAGAAGAAAAUGACGUAAAAUCUAUCUUUUCGAGGUUCUGCCAAUGUCAUCAACUCUAGAUCAAUCAAAAUGCAAAGACUCUUUAACCAACAACCUCCCAGACCUGUCCGAGGUGGUGGACAAGGUGCUGGUCCUGCUGCGCCUCCUGUGAGAAGACCACGACCUCGACACUACCCAGAUGUUAGCAUUGCAGAAUUGAUGGCUUCCCCAUCCCGGCUUCAGAUGCCUCUCAUACAUACUGAGAAAGAAAACAAUGGGCUUUGGUUUAAGAUAUUGACAAAUGUCUAACUGACGAUUGUACUUCAAUCUACACCUCUGACUGGAGGGUAGCCUGGUACAAUUAUAGCAUGGUCUCUGAUGAGAUGAAACUUACCUGGUGGGGAGACUUUGUGCAAAAGUAUUAUUGGGACCCCAUUCAUUACAAUGUGGUGCGUUUACAUUGGAAGAAGACAAUGAUGUCGUUGAUCUCCAACUUCAUCAGCAAGCGCAAGCGGAGUGGCAAGAUACCUCCAUUCAUGAGUUCAGAGCACUGGGGUGCUUUGCAAACAUAUUGGGGUACUGAACCUGCUAGAAAGAAAAGCAAGUCUGCUUCUGAAAGCCGCUGCUCAGAUCAAGGAGGUCUAGGUCAACACAUCCACACUGCUGGUUCGACACGAUUUAUGAAGAUCAAAUAUGAUACUAAGUCUGAACUUGUCUGAACUUGCUAAAGAUGUGCUUGCGGUUCAAGUUUCUUCUGUUGCUUCUGAAUCGGCGUUUAGCACUAGUGGGAGAAUUUUGGAUCCUUAUAGGAGUUCUUUGACUCCUUAUAUGAUCGAGGCUUUGAUAUGCACACAACAAUGGAUGCGGUCUUCAAAUCAGUCUCAGCCAGUAGUUGCAAACUUGGCUCAAAUGUUGGAAGAAGUUGACUUUUUUGAGUCAUUGGAUUCUCGAAACUCACAGGCAUGACCAAGUGAGGUUUAGGUACGUGAAGGUGAAGCUAAGGAAGUUGUGAAGAAAUGGAGAUGUUCGUUUUUGGUUUUAAGAGAAACAAAUGGGGUUUGUUUUUGGUGUGAAGAGAAAGAGAUGGUGUUUGUUUUUGGUCUCAACCUCUUCAAUCUCAUUUUAAAAUUAUGAAGUUGUAUGAACAAUGUUUUUGUUUUUGCUCUCUGUGGUUUCUGUCAAAAAACUUUAUUUUAUUAUCACACUAUGGAUGGCUGAGACCAAAAACAUUAUGGAUC